rnacentral:lncRNA from 1 species
AAAACUUAUUUAGAGAACCUUUCUUUUUAUUUUCAACACCAUAAAAAAAAGAAUGGGACUUUGAACCCACUUUGAAUUUUCAAACAUUCUGACAACAAGCUUUUACUCCUCCCUUUUUUCUAUGUAACUUUAAAGCUUUAAAGUUCAAACACUCCUCUUCCAUGUGAGCAAAACUUCACGUGAGGUGCAGAUUUUGUUCACCCUUUUCCUUCACCUUGCGAGAUGGUUUUUCAAAUCUCUUUUUUUUCAAUUCUAACACACGGUGCUCUUCCAUCAGAAACCAAAGGUAGUUCCUCAAUAUUUGGGCUCCCGUGAAGUUCGUUUUUGAAAUUCCUUUUGGGUUUGUCAACCGUUGAUUUUCAAACGAAGAUGGGUAAGAUUUAGUGGAACUCAAACUCUUUUGAAUUGUUCUAAUUUAUCUUCUUUUCCCCUUAAACCGUAGAGACCUUUUUAUGCAGGCCACGGGCACUCUUUUCUUUCUGCUGUACUACUUUGCUUGUGUACUUCCUUUGUGGAUCAGAGACUUGAAAACAAAAAGGGGGAGAAAUCAAGCAGGUUACCCAUUUUCGUUUUAUGUUCUGAGUUUGUUUUAUGUAUUUGAAGUGGAAUGAAACUCUAAAUGUAAUGAACUUUAUCAAUUCUUUCGUGCAGGCAUCCCGGUAUAGCGGCAUCUCUUCGAUUGGUUGUUGGACAAAACCAUUUUGCACCCCCGAGUUAGUUGAAGAGAACUGUUGAUUUAUGGCUCCAAAGGUGAGAGUUUGCAUCCUUAAAUUCGUAGUAAUGCAUUCCUCGUAGAUGCUGUAUUUUGAAUGAGUUUUGAUGUAUUUAGAGUGUAAGUAUUCGUUGGCAUUUCUGUUUCCACAGGGGAAAUUAUUUGACUGGUCUUGACAAUGGGGAUUUGGACACACUUUUUGUGUUCCCAUUCGUAUUUCGUCUUGAAUACUUGCCAUAUUUUCUAAUUAACACUUGUACAAAGGAAUGCUUUUCCCAAAAUCUUUUGUAGUUUUGACUUGUCUUCUAGUCCAUUGGGUGUUUGCCAUGUGAAUGAGUUUUCUAAAUAAUUUGGCAGCAAGCUUCUCCUUCUUUGUAGACUUGGGACAACAAGUGUUUAAUAUAAAGGAUUUGAACCUUCUUUUUUUUAUCCCAUCUUCUCGUGGCAAAGAAGGCUUUGAACCUUCUUUUAAAUGUUUGUGGCAGAGAAGCAGGUGAGAAAUUUUGACCUGAUGAAAACACUCUGUUCUUUCUUCAUGUGACAAAGAAGGUUUUGAACCUUCUUUUAGCUGUUUAUUCAAAGAUUGGGAAAUUUCCUUUCUUUCCUUUUUGUCUUGUAGCAGUCUUUGGUCAAGAGUUGUGUUUGAAAACUUUUCUUCUUGUGGAAUUGGACCAAGCAGGAGUCGGUCAAGGGAAGUUUUGGCUUUCUUUUUCUUUGCAAACCAUCUUUUCCAUUUUCUCUUUUUUUCUUUGACUCUAUCCCAAAUAGUUUUUCGUAUCAUUUUAGCCAAAAACAUCUUCCAUGUUUUGUACCCGUGGGUAGCAAAAACACCAAACAGAAUAAUUUCUUCUCUCUUUCUUGUGUUGCAUCUUUGUAUAUGUUGCCUCCUUGCUGUCUUAUUUCUCGGGAACUUAAGCUUAGAACUUUGAAACUGCACUUGACAAUUUGGCGAAGGGGUAGACCAUUUAAACUUGGUUAAAAUUUCAUGGGAUUCUUGGAGAUUAUCUUUGCUGCAGCUGGGGGAGUCAGUGGAUAUUCAGAGUCUCCAACUCCAUUUAAUUGGUGAAGAACGCCAAACAAAGAGGCAAAGGUCUUAUAUGCCUUUGCUUAUUUCCCUUUUUUCAUUCAUUUUUUGUUUGUCUGCAACUUUUUAUUUGUGUUUGCUGCUGCAAUGCUUUUUUUUGUUCUUCCUGCAACAUAACAUCAAACGAGAAGAAAAGAAUAAUUUUAACAGAACUUGCUUCAUACCUGGUGAUGAAUGUUCUUCUUUUGGAUCCUGAUUCAAAAGCACAAAAUGGUUGAAUAGCUUGCUCUCUUUCCUGGCAGCACCUUGUUGCUUUCGGUAUUUUCUCUAAAAGUUGCUCUUAUUUUCUGCAGAGUUUCCCCUCUUUUUUUCUGUCUUUUCCCCCUUUUACUUGCUGCAGGUGAUGCUUAUUUAUAGGCAUCCUAGGAAAGCUCUGGAAUUUGCUACGUGGGGGAAGUUGGAGGCCAUGAUCUCCUGCCACUUUUACUUAACCUCUCCCACUAACUUGUGCAGUUUUUUUCACACCCUGCAGAGAAGGAGGUUUCUGUGUUGCACGUUUUUCUUCCCCCUUUUGUAGGAAGAAAUUCAUAUUUUAUUUUUUUUAUUUGUUUAUUUCUGGAUGUUGUUUUGUAUGUAAUGCUCAUCCUCAUCUUUUGGGCUGGAUUGCAUUUUGUUUUUUUUUCGGCCUUGUAGUUUGGCCCAAUUUACAUGGACUCUAUUUUUUAUAUGUCAUGUAUUUUUAUUGUUCAACAGAG